GGUAACUGGAAUUUCUAGUGUAGGAGUGAAAUCCGUAGAUAUUAGAAGGAACACCGAUGGCGUAGGCAGGUUACUGGGCCAUUUCUGACGCUAAGGCACGAAAGCGUGGGGAGCGAACCGGAUUAGAUACCCGGGUAGUCCACGCCGUAAACGAUGGAUACUAGCUGUUGGAGGUAUCGACCCCUUCAGUAGCGAAGCUAACGCGUUAAGUAUCCCGCCUGUGGAGUACGGCCGCAAGGCUAAAACAUAAAGGAAUUGACGGGGACCCGCACAAGCGGUGGAUUAUGUUCUUUAAUUCGAUGAUAACCGAAGAACCUUACCAGGGCUUGACAUCCAGGGAAGGUCUGCGAAAGUAGACUGUGCCUUUUGGAACCCUGUGACAGGUGAUGCAUGGCCGUCGUCAGCUCGUGUCGUGAGAUGUUAGGUUAAGUCCUUCAACGAGCGCAACCCUUGUGAAUAGUUGUAUUUUUCUAUUCAGACUGCCCCGGUAACGGGGAGGAAGGAGGGGAUGAUGUCAGGUCAGUAUUUCCCUUACGUCCUGGGCUAGAAACGUAAUACAAUGGCUAGUACAAUGCGCAGCGAAGCCGCGAGGUGAAGCAAAUCGCAUCAAAGCUAGUCCCAGUUCGGAUUGUAGGCUGAAACUCGCCUGCAUGAAGUCGGAAUCGCUAGUAAUCGCAAAUCAGCAAGUUGCGGUGAAUACGUUCCCGGGUCUUGUACACACCGCCCGUCAAACCAUGAAAGUGACCAACACCCGAAGUCCGAUUCGUCGGCCUAAGGUGGGGGGCAUGAUUGGGGUUAAGUCGUAACAAGGUAUCCGUACCGGAAGGUGCGGAUG
rnacentral:rRNA from 1 species